rnacentral:rRNA from 1 species
GACAGAGGCCUCAAGCGUUUAGGCGGAAUCACUGGGCUUAAAGCGUGUGUAGGCGGAUCGUUAAGUGUCUUGUGAAAUCCCACGGCUCACCCGUGGAACGGCUGGGCAUACUGGCGAUCUUGGGCCAACUAGGGGCAACUGGAACAAGCGGUGGAGCGGUGAAAUGCGUAGAUAUCGCUUGGAACGCCGAAGGUGAAAACAGGUUGCUGGGGUUGUGCCGACGCUGAGACACGAAAGCCAGGGGAGCAAACGGG